AGCCCAGAGCCUGAAUCAGUGUGUGUGUUAGUGGAAGCGUCUGGAAAGGCGCGCGAUACAGGGUGACAGCCCCGUACACAAAAAUGCACAUACUGUGAGCUCGAUGAGUAGGGCGGGACACGUGGUAUCCUGUCUGAAUAUGGGGGGACCAUCCUCCAAGGCUAAAUACUCCUGACUGACCGAUAGUGAACCAGUACCGUGAGGGAAAGGCGAAAAGAACCCCGGCGAGGGGAGUGAAAAAGAACCUGAAACCGUGUACGUACAAGCAGUGGGAGCCUCUUAAUGGGGUGACUGCGUACCUUUUGUAUAAUGGGUCAGCGACUUAUAUUCUGUAGCAAGGUUAACCGAAUAGGGGAGCCGAAGGGAAACCGAGUCUUAACUGGGCGUUAAGUUGCAGGGUAUAGACCCGAAACCCGGUGAUCUAGCCAUGGGCAGGUUGAAGGUUGGGUAACACUAACUGGAGGACCGAACCGACUAAUGUUGAAAAAUUAGCGGAUGACUUGUGGCUGGGGGUGAAAGGCCAAUCAAACCGGGAGAUAGCUGGUUCUCCCCGAAAGCUAUUUAGGUAGCGCCUCGUGAAUUCAUCUCCGGGGGUAGAGCACUGUUUCGGCAAGGGGGUCAUCCCGACUUACCAACCCGAUGCAAACUGCGAAUACCGGAGAAUGUUAUCACGGGAGACACACGGCGGGUGCUAACGUCCGUCGUGAAGAGGGAAACAACCCAGACCGCCAGCUAAGGUCCCAAAGUCAUGGUUAAGUGGGAAACGAUGUGGGAAGGCCCAGACAGCCAGGAUGUUGGCUUAGAAGCAGCCAUCAUUUAAAGAAAGCGUAAUAGCUCACUGGUCGAGUCGGCCUGCGCGGAAGAUGUAACGGGGCUAAACCAUGCACCGAAGCUGCGGCAGCGACACUAUGUGUUGUUGGGUAGGGGAGCGUUCUGUAAGCCUGUGAAGGUGUACUGUGAGGUAUGCUGGAGGUAUCAGAAGUGCGA
rnacentral:rRNA from 1 species